rnacentral:rRNA from 1 species
AUAUUGCACAAUGGGGGAAACCCUGAUGCAGCGACGCCGCGUGGGCGAAGAAGUAUUUCGGUAUGUAAAGCCCUAUCAGCAGGGAAGAAGAAAUGACGGUACCUGAGUAAGAAGCACCGGCUAAAUACGUGCCAGCAGCCGCGGUAAUACGUAUGGAGCAAGCGUUAUCCGGAUUUACUGGGUGUAAAGGGAGCGUAGGCGGCCUGGCAAGUCUGGUGUGAAAUACCGGGGCCCAACCCCGGGACUGCAUUGGAAACUGCCAGGCUGGAGUGUCGGAGGGGCAGGCGGAAUUCCUAGUGUAGCGGUGAAAUGCGUAGAUAUUAGGAGGAACACCGGUGGCGAAGGCGGCCUGCUGGACGACAACUGACGCUGAGGCACGAAAGCGUGGGGAGCAAACAGG